rnacentral:tRNA from 1 species
AGUAAAAUGCCUGAAAUUAAAGGGUUAUCUUGAUAGGAUAAAUUAUGUAUUUUAUACUUUUACUA